rnacentral:rRNA from 1 species
UUAAGCGACUAAGCGUACACGGUGGAUGCCCUGGCAGUCAGAGGCGAUGAAGGACGUGCUAAUCUGCGAAAAGCGUCGGUAAGGUGAUAUGAACCGUUAUAACCGGCGAUGUCCGAAUGGGGAAACCCAGUGCAAUUCGUUGCACUAUCGUUAACUGAAUACAUAGGUUAACGAGGCGAACCGGGGGAACUGAAACAUCUAAGUACCCCGAGGAAAAGAAAUCAACCGAGAUUCCCCCAGUAGCGGCGAGCGAACGGGGAGCAGCCCAGAGUCUGAAUCAGCUUGUGUGUUAGUGGAACGGUCUGGAAAGUCCGACGGUACAGGGUGAUAGUCCCGUACACCAAAAUGCACAGGCUGUGAACUCGAAGAGUAGGGCGGGACACGUGGUAUCCUGUCUGAAUAUGGGGGGACCAUCCUCCAAGGCUAAAUACUCCUGACUGACCGAUAGUGAACCAGUACCGUGAGGGAAAGGCGAAAAGAACCCCGGCGAGGGGAGUGAAAAAGAACCUGAAACCGUGUACGUACAAGCAGUGGGAGCCUCUUUAUGGGGUGACUGCGUACCUUUUGUAUAAUGGGUCAGCGACUUAUAUUCUGUAGCAAGGUUAACCGUAUAGGGGAGCCGCAGGGAAACCGAGUCUUAACUGGGCGUUAAGUUGCAGGGUAUAGACCCGAAACCCGGUGAUCUAGCCAUGGGCAGGUUGAAGGUUGGGUAACACUAACUGGAGGACCGAACCGACUAAUGUUGAAAAAUUAGCGGAUGACUUGUGGCUGGGGGUGAAAGGCCAAUCAAACCGGGAGAUAGCUGGUUCUCCCCGAAAGCUAUUUAGGUAGCGCCUCGUGAACUCAUCUUCGGGGGUAGAGCACUGUUUCGGCUAGGGGGUCAUCCCGACUUACCAACCCGAUGCAAACUACGAAUACCGAAGAAUGUUAUCACGGGAGACACACGGCGGGUGCUAACGUCCGUCGUGAAGAGGGAAACAACCCAGACCGCCAGCUAAGGUCCCAAAGUCAUGGUUAAGUGGGAAACGAUGUGGGAAGGCCCAGACAGCCAGGAUGUUGGCUUAGAAGCAGCCAUCAUUUAAAGAAAGCGUAAUAGCUCACUGGUCGAGUCGGCCUGCGCGGAAGAUGUAACGGGGCUAAACCAUGCACCGAAGCUGCGGCAGCGACACUAUGUGUUGUUGGGUAGGGGAGCGUUCUGUAAGCCUGUGAAGGUGGCCUGUGAGGGCUGCUGGAGGUAUCAGAAGUGCGAAUGCUGACAUAAGUAACGAUAAAGCGGGUGAAAAGCCCGCUCGCCGGAAGACCAAGGGUUCCUGUCCAACGUUAAUCGGGGCAGGGUGAGUCGACCCCUAAGGCGAGGCCGAAAGGCGUAGUCGAUGGGAAACAGGUUAAUAUUCCUGUACUUGGUGUUACUGCGAAGGGGGGACGGAGAAGGCUAUGUCAUCCGGGCGACGGUUGUCCCGGUUUAAGCAUGUAGGCUGGUUAUCCAGGCAAAUCCGGAUAAUCAAGGCUGAGGUGUGAUGACGAGGUACCACGGUACUGAAGUGACAGAUGCCCUGCUUCCAGGAAAAGCCUCUAAGCAUCAGGUAACAUCAAAUCGUACCCCAAACCGACACAGGUGGUCAGGUAGAGAAUACCAAGGCGCUUGAGAGAACUCGGGUGAAGGAACUAGGCAAAAUGGUGCCGUAACUUCGGGAGAAGGCACGCUGGUGUGUAGGUGAAGUCCCUGCGGAUGGAGCUGAGACCAGUCGAAGAUACCAGCUGGCUGCAACUGUUUAUUAAAAACACAGCACUGUGCAAACACGAAAGUGGACGUAUACGGUGUGACGCCUGCCCGGUGCCGGAAGGUUAAUUGAUGGGGUUAUCCGUAAGGAGAAGCUCUUGAUCGAAGCCCCGGUAAACGGCGGCCGUAACUAUAACGGUCCUAAGGUAGCGAAAUUCCUUGUCGGGUAAGUUCCGACCUGCACGAAUGGCGUAAUGAUGGCCAGGCUGUCUCCACCCGAGACUCAGUGAAAUUGAACUCGCUGUGAAGAUGCAGUGUACCCGCGGCAAGACGGAAAGACCCCGUGAACCUUUACUAUAGCUUGACACUGAACAUUGAGCCUUGAUGUGUAGGAUAGGUGGGAGGCUUUGAAGCGUGGACGCCAGUCUGCGUGGAGCCAACCUUGAAAUACCACCCUUUAAUGUUUGAUGUUCUAACGUUGGCCCCUUAUCGGGGUUGCGGACAGUGUCUGGUGGGUAGUUUGACUGGGGCGGUCUCCUCCCAAAGCGUAACGGAGGAGCACGAAGGUUAGCUAAUCCUGGUCGGACAUCAGGAGGUUAGUGCAAUGGCAUAAGCUAGCUUGACUGCGAGCGUGACGGCGCGAGCAGGUGCGAAAGCAGGUCAUAGUGAUCCGGUGGUUCUGAAUGGAAGGGCCAUCGCUCAACGGAUAAAAGGUACUCCGGGGAUAACAGGCUGAUACCGCCCAAGAGUUCAUAUCGACGGCGGUGUUUGGCACCUCGAUGUCGGCUCAUCACAUCCUGGGGCUGAAGUAGGUCCCAAGGGUAUGGCUGUUCGCCAUUUAAAGUGGUACGCGAGCUGGGUUUAGAACGUCGUGAGACAGUUCGGUCCCUAUCUGCCGUGGGCGCUGGAGAAUUGAGGGGGGCUGCUCCUAGUACGAGAGGACCGGAGUGGACGCAUCACUGGUGUUCGGGUUGUCAUGCCAAUGGCACUGCCCGGUAGCUAAAUGCGGAAGAGAUAAGUGCUGAAAGCAUCUAAGCACGAAACUUGCCCCGAGAUGAGUUCUCCCUGAGACUAUAAGUCUCCUGAAGGAACGUUGAAGACGACGACGUUGAUAGGCCGGGUGUGUAAGCGCAGCGAUGCGUUGAGCUAACCGGUACUAAUGAACCGUGAGGCUUAACCU